AGCGAACGCUGGCGGCGUGCCUAACACAUGCAAGUCGAACGUGAAAAGGGAAACCUGAGUAAAGUGGCGUACGGGUGAGUAACGCGUAGGUAAUCUACCCCAGAAUCUGGAAUAACCUGCCGAAAGGCGGGCUAAUACUGGAUAGAGCGAGGGAACUCGUAAGAGAGUUUUUCGGGAAAGGGAGCCCGCAAGGGCCUUCGUUCUGGGAUGAGCCUGCGUCUCAUUAGCUAGUUGGUAAGGUAACGGCUUACCAAGGCGAUGAUGAGUAGCUGGUCUGAGAGGAUGAUCAGCCACACUGGAACUGAAACACGGUCCAGACUCCUACGGGAGGCAGCAGUGGGGAAUCUUGCGCAAAGGACGAAAGUCUGACGCAGCCACGCCGCGUGAGUGAAGAAGGCCUUCGGGUUGUAAAGCUCUGUCGGAUGGACGAACAUCUUCAUAGUGAAUAGCUAUGAGGACUGACGGUACCAUCAAAGGAAGCACCGGCUAACUCCGUG
rnacentral:rRNA from 1 species